rnacentral:rRNA from 1 species
AUUGAACGCUGGCGGCAGGCCUAACACAUGCAAGUCGAGCGGAUGAAGGGGGCUUGCUCCUGGAUUCAGCGGCGGACGGGUGAGUAAUGCCUAGGAAUCUGCCUGGUAGUGGGGGAUAACGUCCGGAAACGGGCGCUAAUACCGCAUACGUCCUGAGGGAGAAAGUGGGGGAUCUUCGGACCUCACGCUAUCAGAUGAGCCUAGGUCGGAUUAGCUAGUUGGUGGGGUAAAGGCCUACCAAGGCGACGAUCCGUAACUGGUCUGAGAGGAUGAUCAGUCACACUGGAACUGAGAAACGGUCCAGACUCCUACGGGAGGCAGCAGUGGGGAAUAUUGGACAAUGGGCGAAAGCCUGAUCCAGCCAUGCCGCGUGUGUGAAGAAGGUCUUCGGAUUGUAAAGCACUUUAAGUUGGGAGGAAGGGCAGUAAGUUAAUACCUUGCUGUUUUGACGUUACCAACAGAAUAAGCACCGGCUAACUUCGUG